GCGGCAUUAGCUCAGGUGGUUAGAGCACUCGGUAGGACACGACGGAUACCACGAGUGGUCGUUGGUUCAACUCCAACAUGCCGUA
rnacentral:tRNA from 1 species